UAUCUACCCGUCAACUGCAGUUAAUUCUUCUCUAAAGCUACUCUUCCAGCAAAUCCCUUCCACUGAGCAUACCUACUUUACAUUCACAUUGGGAGUCUAACGCAAUCACAGGUGAGAAUACAGCGCGCCGCGUCAGCCUUUCCACCUCCAUUUUCACACACUU
rnacentral:lncRNA from 1 species